CUACAUUGUGCAAAUACCUUGUCAAAUCUCUACAAUUCCUGAUUUCGGGAAUACGCUUGUGAGGAAGGAAAAUGAAUAGCCUAAUGUGAAUGACAAAAUGAUGGAAUGAAUUCAACAGCAAGAUAACAAGGAGGAAACAUGCAUUAAAAAACAUACAAAGAAGAAGUUUGGACCGCAGAUGGGGAAGAUAGAAUUAGCCACAGAAUGAAGUGUUUGCUCAUUAAAUUUGACACAAACCAAAGAGUCCAAUGUUCUACCCACAGGUAAAAUAAAAUUUUUCCUUUUUUGACUUUGAUUUUGCAGAAGAACACUCUCCAGAGACAUUCUGUGAUUUCUCUGCUCCUGGUGAAUAAGAGAAAAAAAAAUGAGUAGCAGAGAAGGGUUAAGAUCCCAUAGAACCCGAGGCAGGUUUACAGUUUGGAGCUCCCCCCUCAUAUUUCACACAUGGUUAG